UGAAGAAUUAUUGUUUAUUUUUGACGGUCUUUAUUUUCAGCUUACCACUAUUCCUCUUCUUCUCUUAUCAACGACCCUGUUUCUCUUUUUCUCUUCCGUCAAAUUUGAGAUCACCUGCUCCUCUUCUUUCCUUGGCUCCGGCUUUCAGUUUUGGAUUCCAAUACUCACUCUUCAUAUUCAAAAUCUCAGUUUACUCUUCAAUUUCAAGAUUCAUCUCAUUCUUCAGCUCCAAAAUCAACUUAGUCUUGUUAGAUUUCAAAAUUUUUUUAUUCAAGCUUCUUAUACUAUACGUAUUAAGGUCAAACAAUUUUAUCAAUGGCUUCCAAAUUGCUAUUAAAGAAACAAAGUCAACCAACUGAGACAAGUAUUUUUUUAUUAUUGCUUAUUUAUGUGAAUUGUAAUUGUUAAGGUCAUUUAUAGUCUUCUAGAAUGCAUUUUUCUUGUUUAUUAUUGUUUGGUAAUGCUGAAUAUUCUAUAAUUUGCUGUGUUUUCUAUGUAUGACUCUGUAUUAAGUGACAUAUUCAUGCUUAUUUUGGAGGAGUCAAUGUCAAUUCUCACUUCUCUCUUUGCCUGUCGAGUAAUUUUUUACGGCUGAAUCCACAUCUAACUAUAAUUAUUCUGAGGUAUGUUAAGCUUGUCAUAUAUUCAAUGGACAAGGAUUGGAUACAAAUUAAGAAUAGAGCCCUUUUACAAUAUAGGAGAGCCAAAGACCUCAAAGAUUGCUAAUAGUGUUGCUACUAGAAGAAAGAAAGGGAUUCAGAGUCUUGUAUCUAAAAGAAAUUUAGCUCCAUCAAGUCACUUACAACAAGCUGAUUUUCUUUCUAAUAAUGAUGGAGAGCAUGGAAAAAAAACAAGUUCAUCAAGUCAUUCACAAGUUAGAAGGACAUUUGACUCUCUUUCUAAUGAUGAUGGAGUGCAUGGAAAAAAAGUAAGUUCAUCAAGCCACUCACAAGUUAGAAGGACAUUUGACUCCCUUUCUAAUAAUGAUGGAGUGCAUGGAAAAAAAGCAAGUUCAUCAAGUCACUCACAACUUAGAAGGCAAUUUGACUCCCUUUCUAAUGAUGAUGAAGUGGAUGAAGAAGAAUUCGAAUCCGAUUUUGUAGCACCGAAAAAAAAGUGAGAGGACCUAUGCGCAAUCUUGAGUUAGCAAAGUUACCAGCUGGAAAAAGACUUGACAUAAACUGGAGAAUGAAUAGGCCAGUUGGUCCAAAUGCAAAGCUGUUCAAAUCAAGAUGCACUGUUCUAGUUCGUGAUGUGAAGAAUGCACCACUAAAGGUUAAAGAAUGGGCUGAUAUCAAAAUAGAGAACAAAAUAAAGAUGUUUGACCUAGUUUUGACAUACUUUAAAGUUGAAGGUUGAAAGCAUUUAGUAUGGGCUCAAAUGAAUUUUUCUUAUCGGAGUUAUCGACAUCUAUUAAAGAAAAGGUAUUUUGAACCUUAUGAUAACCCUGAAAUUGCUCGAGCCAAUAUACCAUUGGAAAUGGAAAAAGAGGAUUGGGAUUACCUUGUGAAUCUUUGGAUUGAUGAAGGCUGGCAGAAAAUAAGUCAACAAAACAAGAUGAGUCGAGCUGCAAAUAGCAUUAUCCAUACCACUGGUGCUAAGGGAGCCCAACAAAGAGCUGAAGAGGCGGUAUCUAAAUUUUACUAAUUUAUAGACUUAAUUUGAAGAUAUUUAUUAGUUGCUAUAUUUAUAAGAUAUGUUAUUUGUACCUACAGUUUGAGCAAACAGGACAAGAAAUUGACCGUCUUCGCCUUUGGGAGCUUACGCAUACCCAUGUUAAUGAACAAGCUUGCAAUGAAGAAACUCAAGAAAAACUUGUUGAUUUGAUCCAUUUUAGAAUUUACUUAAGGAAUUAUCAUCUCAAGUAAAUGAGGGAAUAUUAGAGAUGAAUGAACAUGAGGUGAUGGUAGAAGUAUUUGGACCUGAACGACAUGGACGAGUUCGUGGUUAUGGAGCUGGCGUGACACCUGCACAGUUAUGGGGUCCUAGAUCAUUCAUAUUUUCUGAUCUCCAAAUAAAGCUUCAAUGUGCAGAAAAAAAAUAUGAAGACUCUAAAAUAGAGGUGGAAGAUUUGAAGAAAAAAGUAGAUCAUAUGGCAGGAAUACUUGAGCAACUAUUGGAUGGAAGGUUGCCUAUAGUUCAAAGUGAUAACAAUCCUACUUCACUUGAUUAAUGCUCAAGACUUUGAUGAGUUUAUGUAUAAUUCAUAUAGCACUAUACAAAAAAAACAUUAAUAUGAUAUUAUGAUAUUGAGUAUUGAUUUUGGUACUUGGUGUUAAUUGUUGUUGAUAUACUUAUCAAAUGCUAAAUAAAGAAUGCUAUUUGUACUAGUUUUGAAUCA